CGUACACUCCUGCGGGAGGCAGCAGUGGGGAAUAUUGGACAAUGGGCGCAAGCCUGAUCCAGCCAUGCCGCGUGAGUGAUGAAGGCCCUAGGGUUGUAAAGCUCUUUCACCGGUGAAGAUAAUGACGGUAACCGGAGAAGAAGCCCCGGCUAACUUCGUGCCAGCAGCCGCGGUAAUACGAAGGGGGCUAGCGUUGUCCGGAUUUACUGGGCGUAAAGCGAACGUAGGCGGACUAUUAAGUCAGGGGUGAAAUCCCGGGGCUCAACCCCGGAACUGCCUUUGAUACUGGUAGUCUUGAGUUCGAGAGAGGUGAGUGGAAUUCCGAGUGUAGAGGUGAAAUUCGUAGAUAUUCGGAGGAACACCAGUGGCGAAGGCGGCUCACUGGCUCGAUACUGACGCUGAGGUGCGAAAGCGUGGGGAGCAAACAGGAUUAGAAACCCUUGUAGUCCCAUGAU
rnacentral:rRNA from 1 species